UAUCAGAUGAGCCUAGGUUCGGAUUAGCUAGUUGGUGAGGUAAUGGCUCACCAAGGCGACGAUCCGUAACUGGUCUGAGAGGAUGAUCAGUCACACUGGAACUGAGACACGGUCCAGACUCCUACGGGAGGCAGCAGUGGGGAAUAUUGGACAAUGGGCGAAAGCCUGAUCCAGCCAUGCCGCGUGUGUGAAGAAGGUCUUCGGAUUGUAAAGCACUUUAAGUUGGGAGGAAGGGUUGCUGAUUAAUACUCUGCAAUUUUGACGUUACCGACAGAAUAAGCACCGGCUAACUCUGUGCCAGCAGCCGCGGUAAUACAGAGGGUGCAAGCGUUAAUCGGAAUUACUGGGCGUAAAGCGCGCGUAGGUGGUUUGUUAAGUUGGAUGUGAAAGCCCCGGGCUCAACCUGGGAACUGCAUCCAAAACUGGCAAGCUAGAGUAGGGCAGAGGGUGGUGGAAUUUCCUGUGUAGCGGUGAAAUGCGUAGAUAUAGGAAGGAACACCAGUGGCGAAGGCGACCACCUGGGCUCAUACUGAC
rnacentral:rRNA from 1 species